AUACAGAGGGUGCGAGCGUUAAUCGGAAUUACUGGGCGUAAAGCGCGCGUAGGCGGCUUAUUAAGUCAGAUGUGAAAUCCCCGGGCUCAACCUGGGAACUGCAUCUGAUACUGGUAAGCUAGAGUUUUGGAGAGGGAAGUAGAAUUUCAGGUGUAGCGGUGAAAUGCAUAGAGAUCUGAAAGAAUACCAGUGGCGAAGGCGACUUCCUGGCCAAAAACUGACGCUGAGGUGCGAAAGCGUGGGUAGCAAACGGGAUUAGAAACCCUAGUAGUCC
rnacentral:rRNA from 1 species